rnacentral:lncRNA from 1 species
CUGAUUUUACUGUUGACAAAUUUAGUAAUCAACACUAUACAGAAUAAUGAUGCAUGAAAGAUUUACAUCCUGUUUUUGAAAGCCGGCUAUAAUAUUUGUGUGACGGUAUUAUUGAGGUAAUAUAUAUAUAAUCAGUCUUACAGAGAAAGUAUAUCUUUCUAUUAAUGGCAUUAUAAAUUUAGAGGCUGCAUAGCCAUAAAACUACUGAAUUUCCAAUUUUACUAAUUGUGCUAGGGAGGUCAGCUAAACUAUGAAGUAUAGGGAAAUUCAUUGGUGCCAAAAAUUUUGGAAAUAGUCAACUGGUUUAAAAGUUCUGACCAUUUUGAUUUCCAAAAUUGUCGUUUUUGUGAAACCUGUGACUUUUGUCGCAGAAAGCUAGAUAUGGAUAGUGAUCUGUCAGCGGCUACUACGGCAUUAGCUUACUUCUCAAAAGCUUUAUAUUUUAGAAGGUGAAAGACCUAGAUGCUUCAUACUUUGUAUAUAGAUGCCUCAGAAUACGAAGUUUCUGUCUGUCACAUGUCUAUUGUCCUUGACCUCAUUUUCAUGAUUCAGUGACUACUUGAAAAAAAGUUAGAGUUUUUGUAAUGUUAAGUUUUCUCUUAUUAUGAGUUAUAGGAUAACUAUAUUUGGUAUGUAUGUACCUUGCAAGGUUGUCAGGCCUUACAGACAGUUUUCACUUGACCUCAACCUCAUUUCAUGGAUCAAGGUUAAGUUUUGGUGGUCAAGUCCAUAUCAUAUAGGUGUAGUAUAUUCAGUGUAUCUGACCUUGACCUCAUUUUCAUGGUUCAGUGGUUAUAGUUAAGUUUUUGUGUCUUGGUCUGUUUUUCUUGUACUGUGUCCUGUAUGCAAUAGAUCUAAUACAUUUGGUGUAUGGAAUGAUUAUACAUGUAAAGUGAACAUGUCUAGCUGGCAGGUGUCAUCUGACCUUCAUGACCUUGAACUCAUUUUCCAUGGUUCAGUUGUCAAAGUUCAGUUUUUGAGUUUUUUUUUUUUUUUUUAUACUGUAUGCUUUACAUAGGUCAACUAUAUUUGGUGUAUUUCUUGUGGAUCUUGUAUCAAGAAAAUUCCUUUCAUUCAGUAACAGUUGAUAAUAACUUUCUUUUUCAGUAUUUUUUAAUGUUUUGAAAACUUAUAACUUGAUCACAUGGUAAACUAUGUUACUUUUCAGCGCUAAACUUCCAAAGCUUGUGUUUAAAUAUUCUUCUUGUAUUAAAAUCUAGCAAUUAUACUAUCAUUGUUCAACUUCACCCCCAUCUUUAGUUAUCAUUAUUAAUAUAAUAGUAUAUAUCACUAAGUUAUUUCACCCUUAACCACAGUUAUUCAGCAUAUCUCCAUAUAGCACAUAAUAACCUAUACAAUUGGUAGUAUGGAGAGUUGUCUUCAGCAGGACUGGCAGCAGCUUUAGCAUUAAUACAGGCAUCAGCAGCAGCAACAUUACUCAUUAUUUACAGCUUAAAAUAUAUAAUGUAUAUCUGAUAGCAUUUUCUUUCAUUAGAAAUACACGACAGGUGAGACAUUUGUGUGUGUCCACUCUUAUUUGCGAAGGCUCAAAUAUCAUAUUUUUGGCAAUUUUUUAGACCAAAUAAUAAAAUCUAUCUGCUUUAUUGCAAGAACGCUCUGUUAUGCUUUGAUUUAAGCCACUCCAGUCCUAAGUAACAUCAAUAUCUACAACAUCUCAAACUUUAAAAAAAAAAAUUCAAAGAAGCGAUUGAAAAUUUGGCAGGAAUUAGUUUUUCAUACAAUUAUCAUUGGCAAUUUUUUUCUUUCAAAAACUGUGAAAAAAAAAUUAAUAAGAUUUUCAAAUAUGACUCUUAAAACUAUUUGUUAUUAAAUUAUGAAUAGAAAUGUUGGUCAUAUUUGGCGGCAAAAAUUUUGAUAGACACUAGAUGGAUAAAACCAGAGAAUCCAGAAUAUAUAGAAGUAGAUACAUUUGAACCUAGUCAUUUGAACUGUGACGCCUUGCUCAGUUAAUUUACAAUAGCAGGUUAUUGUUUUAUUGAUCAGGUUAAAGGCAACUUUCCCAUCAUUGGCUUCAAGUUUCAUGGUUUUGUGUUGCACAGACAACAUGUAGAUAAUAGCCAAUUAAACAAUUAUAGGUCAAAGUAUGGCCUUCAAGACGAAGCCUUGGCACACACAGAACAGCAAGCUAUAAAGGCCCCAAAAAUGACUGGUACAAAACCAUUCAAACCGUAAAACCAUUCUAUAUAGAAACAAGAAACACUGACUAAUGAACUUACUUGUUCAUUUUUUGAAACUGACAACAGUCAAUAAAUUUGAAAUAAAAUACUUGCUUUCAGAAAUAAGAGCUCUGAUUAAUUUAUCAUGUUUAUCAUGUUUAUGCUUACAAAUUGUCUCGAUUGAUGGAAAUUGCAAAAAAAGUAAACAUUUGAACUGUUGCACAGUGUAAUCAUGGUAAUCAGAAGUGAUUACACUAAUUAACCUGAAAUCGAGUGAUCAACAGACUAAAGACCAUCAAAGGUGUUAAUUUGGCCUUAGGAAUGACACUUUAAGAAAACUGUGCAUAAACAAAUGCUAUAGACAUGUAUAGAAGUACAUGUACCUUGAAUUGUAAAAUUAAUUCUGAUCAAAAGCAAGCCCAUGCAAUAUAAUAUUAAAAUUUUCUGUAUGAGAAUUAUGAGGAUAUAAAUGAUCAUAUUCAUCAUAGCAUAUAUUCACUGGAAAUCUGACUGUUAUUGUUCAAAAUAUUUAAAAAAAAAAAUAAUUAAAAGAUUAAAAUUCGUACAGUUUAGGUUUUUAAAGGGGUAGUCUAGCUACAAGAUUUAUUAAAAAUCUAAUAUAUUAUUUUAAGCAGCCAGUAUGGUUCAAUUUUGUCAAAAUAAGCUAAAAAACAUUGAUUAUGAGUUAUUCACUUGCAAGUGAAUAAUUCGACCUCAUUGAAUCCGUAUUCAUGUGAACUUCAAUAUAACCCCUUUGCUUGAGAUGGAUAACACAUGAGUUGUAUGUGUAAAGUUAUUUAAAGUUUAGAAAAGAAGAAGAAUGUCAACAUAUAAAGUGAAACAAAGGUAAAUCAUUUGAUUGGAUGAUUCGAUCCACAAAAAACAUUCUUAUACAGGUAAAAACGAUGAUUGAAACAUUUAUUUUUCAUCUUUAUUAUGAAAUUAAAUAGACCUAGAAAAAUCCAAGUUUACUCAAUCUAUUUAUAUCUAUAUUUAUGUUUAAAUUGCUUAUAUGGUCAUCGGAUGACUUCAGAGGUCAACUCAAUAGUUAAUUAGGUGGUGUCUAGACCAAAAUACACACGAAGCGAAGCUACAUAUUUUCAUGCCUGUGCCCUGCUUAUUGUUUAUUUUACACUUUUAAUAGUUUGGAUAAAUGUUUUACAUUGUUAUAAAUCAAAUAUGAUAAUUUGAUUGAGAUCUGUGAAAAUGAAUUUGACAGCUAGUGCCCCUUUAAAGCUUAAAUGGGUACAAUCCUGCAUGCAGUUGUUGAUCAUAGUGCAUUUGCUGAUAUUUGAAGUCUUCUUUAGAUAAUAUGGCAUGACUAUAUCUAUGUUGUAAAACCUACAUGUAUGGGUAUCUUUUCAUGUCUUGAUUUGGACAACAGUUGUGUUGCUAUAUUUCCUUGGACACUUGUGGAUCCACAAAAAACAACGAAAAAAAGAUUUAUGCAAAAAUAAAACAAAUUGUUGGUGCUUGUUUAAAAGUUUAUUUUCCAUUGAGAGUUUGUUUAAGCCCAGGUACCAUCCAUAUAUUUAGUGUUUACAACUACCUUUAUAUAUUGUUAGACAUCUGAUCACUGUUUUAUUGAUGUACUGAAUUUAAGUUUCAGUGACAUUUGAUCAAAAUUUAAACAUUAUGGUAAUUAGUGUUAUCUUCUUUAGGUCUUUAAUAGACCGUAGGCCUUAGGGUUAAUAACCUGCUUCAAAGAAUUUUGUAUACAUGUUUGUAUUUUAUGGGUUAAAUAUAUAUGCAAAAAGAAGAAAGAUUUCAUCUCUAUCUUUCUUCUACCAUAAUCAUUAUCAAGUACAGUGGAAUUAGGAAGAAAAGACAGAUAAUAUUUAUUUUUUAAAAGGUAAAUUAAGUACAUGACAUACUUGUGGAAAAUCGUCGUCCGAAGACAUUUGGUUUUCACACUAUAACUUUAGUAAAAGUAAAUAGAAAUCCAUGAAAUUUAAACACAAGGUUUAUGACCAUAAAAGGAAGGUUGGGAUUUAUUUUGGGAGUUUUGGUCCCAACAGUUUAGGAAUUAGGGGCCAAAAAGGGCCCAAAUAAGCAUUUUACUUGGUUUUCGCACCAUGGUGAAUUACUUUAGUAUUAGUAAACAGAAAUCUAUGAAAUUUUAAUAAAAGGUUUAUGAAUACAAAAGGAAGGUUGGGAUUGAUUUUGGGAGUUUUGGUCCCAACAGUUUAGGAAUUAGGGCCAAAAAAGGUCCCAAAUAAGCAUUUUUCUUGGUUUUUGCACAAUAACUUUAGUAUAAGUAAAUAGAAAUCUAUGAAAUUUUAACACAAGGUUUAUGACCACAAAAGGAAGGUUGUGAUUGAUUUUGAUAGUUUUGGUCCCAACAGUUUAGGAAUAAGGGUCCAAAAUUAAACUUAGUUUGAUUUUAACAAAAAUUGAAUGGUGAAUCUUAACACUUAGAUUUUUGAUUAUGGGCCCAGUUUUCAAGUUGGUCCAAAUCGGGGUUCAAAAUUAAACUUUGUUUAAUUUCAACAAAAAUUGAAUAUAUGGGAUUCUUCAAUAUGCUGAAUCUAACCAUGUAUUUAGAUUUUUAAUAUUUGGGCUCUGUUAUCAAAUUGGUCCACAUUGAGGUCUAAAGAGUCUAAAUUUGAACAUUAUUCGAUUUCAUCAAAAAUUGAAUUCUUGGGGUUCUAUGAUAUGCUGAAUCUAACCAUGUAUUUAGAUUUUGGAUAUUGGACCAUAAUAGUUAAAUGUCCAAUUUAAAAUUUUUAAGUUUAAGUUCUUAGACCACAUUCAUUCAGUGUCAUAAACCUAUGUUGUGUCAACUAUUUAAUCACAAUCCAAAUUCAGAGCUGUAUCAAGCUUAAAUGUUGUGUCCAUACUUGCCCCAACUGUUCAGGGUUUGACCUCUGCGGUCGAAUAAAGCUGCACCCUGCAGAGCAUCUGGUUUAUUUAAACAUUAAAAUGAUAUGAAGAUGUAUUGAUUUUAAUUAAAUACAAUGUUCAGCAAAAAAAUGUUCAGUGAAUGACUGUUUUUAACAUUUUUCAGCUUCACUUGGCAAAUAUAUCCAGUUGUAAAAUGUUACCUGUAAUACACAGGAUACAUGUUAUAGUAUAGCUCUCACAGGCUCAGGUAAGUUGAUGCUAGUGUGUAUGAUAGAAAUAAAUGAAUUUAAGCAUCACAUAAAAAUUUAACAAAAACAAUAAUGUUAACAAUUGAAGUUCUUAACUUCUAGGUUCUAAUAAAUUUGUUUUCCUAUUAAAAAAAUUAUUGGUAAAUCAAAGUUUACAGAUUUAUUGAUAUAUUUUUUAAUGUUUUGCUGGUAAGUUUGAACGUAAAAACCUAACUUUCAUGAUUUUUUUAAGCAAAAUGAAUGAGUCUGACACUAUUACUAUGAUGGAGAUUACAAAGGAAAGAGCAAUACCAUGUGCAAAUAUUUAUCAGUAAAAAUACUUUUUGAGAAAUAGAGUAUUAAAAAUACAUUUCAGACUUAAACUAGGAUUUCAAAUCUACUUUAGCGACUGGAUGAGAACUGUUUACAAGGAUAUUACAAGAAAAUUUUUCUGAUUUAUUUCUUCUUAAUUAAAUGGCUGUAGUAGACAUAAUGGUCAAAAGCAUUCAUUAACUACAGUUGUAUUGUAGAUUUCACAGAACAGCACAAAUUUAGAUGUAAACAUUUAGUUGAAAAAUCAACCAAAAAACACAUUGCAUAUAACUCCUAGUCUACAAUACUUUAAAGACCUUGUUGUACUAUUCUGAUGUUACAAGUAUAGGUACAUGUAUAGUUACAUGUAUAUUGGUGUAUAGCAUUGAUUGAUAAUGAACUGGAAACUAAAUCUUAGUGUUAACUAGAAAUUAUAUGGUACAACUUUUUAACCUAAUAAUAGGGUGUGAGUUGUGAACAUGUGUUUAUAAGGAAUAAAACAUAUCCAAUUACUACACAUAUUGAUCUUGACACAGCAGGUGGAUUCUACAAUAUUUUUUUUAUAUUUGCAGGAAUAGGCAGCAUAUUUUUGAACUAAUCCAACAAACAUUUUGACAUACAUUCUCAGGUAAGGAAUUGUAGAGAAAUUAAUCAGGUGUAACUAAACAUUAUACUUUAGUAAUCCCUGUUGUAACAUCACAUCCUUGGUUACUUUAUUUUACGCUUUCUUGCAAAAGUUUUAUGAUAAAAGUUUCACUGUUACAUAUUGUCUUUGUGGAUGCCUAGAAGAUCUUUAAAGUAAAUAUGUUAUUCCAAUUUUUUAGUCGAAAAUUUUGAUCUCACAAGCUCAAGAUAUAUUCUUAAUUUUUCAGAAAUCAUACCAUUGACAAGACCUCUUUUGUUCUCAUUUUUAACCUUUUUUUUUUCUUUAACCUUUGACCUUUUAAGUUUUCUUGCUGCCUCAUCAGUACUGAUGAAAAUUAGAUGGUUCAAGUUCAAUUUAAAACUUAACUGUCUCUCAUACAACAUGUACAUCAACUUGCCCAAAUGUUUUGGUUUUUAUGUGACUCUCCGAUAGCAGCUUUAGAUAAAUAUGGUAUUUGAAAUAUUGAACUAAAUGUGACAGAAAGGAUUUCUUUUGAACCUUGUGCAUUUUGUUUUUCAUGUAGUUAUACCAAAAUCUAACAAAAACUUGAGAAAAAAAAACCAGGGUAUCUGAAACAUGUACUAUGCACGCCUCUCAAUGAAGAGUGCACAUUUCAUUGUCCCGAUUAACAGGUUAUUGAAUUGUAAACCCUAACACUGUGUUGCUGUUUUAUUUUAGAUUUUUCAGUCUUAAAGCUGAACUUAUAAUUGUAAAUGUUAUAAAAGUUCAAUUCCCCAAUUUAAUGAUAGAUUUUGAUGUAAUAACAUCUAGAGUUGAUUGUAAUUGUCACACCAUUCUGAAUGAAUUGGGAACAAAUAAACUGAUGAUUUAAAUUCAUUUAAUAUUCAUCUAUUUGUGAUUCAAUGGAUGAGGCCCCUCACAGGGGUUUCCAAGUAAUCACAUGAUCACAAAAAUUUUGCCAAAAUAUUCACAUAAUCAUUAAUCAUUUAAUCAUGAAAUAUUUGGUCUAAUAAUCAAAUAUUCACUAUAAAAACAACCAAGUAAUCAAGUAAUCAAAUACCCCAUGAGGAGGCUCAUAGGUAUAAAUAUUUCCCAGACAUUUAAAGUUUGAGAAGUCUCAUUUGUUGUUACCUGUCAAAUUAAAGGUAAUGGAGAGGUGCAAGUUUUUAAUUUAUUACUUGAGAAAUUUUUACCAUGUUUUUAUAAUUGUGAAAAUUGUGACAGGAUAGGAUUUUACGAUUUUACAAAAAUUAAAAAACUACCCUUUAAUUUUUUAUGAAAGUACUAUAAAUUUUGGGGUACCAAUUUGCAUGGUUUUAGUAGAUGCCUUCAUCCACAAAUUUUAAGUAUCCAAGGAAAUAUAAUAACUCUUGUCCAAAUCAGGAUAUGGAAAGAUCUCCAUUACCUUAUGUUUGACUACAUCGAAUAUCAGCAAACACAUUAUGAACAAAAGAUGCAACUACUUACAGGAUUCUGCCUAUUUAAUCUUUCAAAAAAAACUAAACCGUACGACUUUUAAUCUCUUAAUUCUCACAAAGAAAUUAGUUUUGAUCGAUAAAAAUCAGACUUCCAGUAAUGAUAUUCAAGGAUUAAUCCAAAUAAAUUUCAUUUGAAAAAUAAAUAAUUUGAUUGAGGGCUUGCAAUUUUUAUUGAUUCUACAAUUCAAAGUACACUUGUAGCUUUUAUUUUUAUUUUAACCGACAUUUUUAUGGACCAAUUUACACAUUUGAUUUUAUUAUAAAACAACAUAUGAUUUUCAUGAGUUUUUCGUUUCAGAUAGCUGCACUUUCUUCACCAAUUAUUUUCUUUUGAAAAACUACAAUCCACAAAUUUUCGAACCAACAAACAUGCAACUUUUGCUCAAACCAUGAAAAUUGAAACCAAAGAAUAAAAGUAACUUUUACAGUAUAUAUCAUUAUCGGUCGUCUCACUGUUUAUAUCAAUCGGCUUAACUCUUAAUAAAAUUCCAUAUCACGUCUUUGUGACUACAAAUACAUUGACCCGGCCUUAAUAACUUUGACCCAGAUAUAUCAGUGACAUGAUGAUAAAAGGGGUUCAGUGAAAAAACUAUUUGAAUUAAGUUUUUUAUCCUACAUUGAACUUUUGAUGUCAUCCCUAAAUAGCUAUAGAAAAUAGUUCAUAUCAUCAAAUAAUAUUUUUUCUUGCAGAUUGAUACAAAUAAAGCAAUUCACAUACUUUCAUUAUAGAUGUCUGGAACUAUAUAACACAAUAUUAUUCUUUUGUUUUUUCUAUUCCAGAGAUGGCAUUUACUGUUACAGGUGUCCAGAAAUUCCUUGAUGUCACAGUCUCACUACCGUCUUUCCCACUAUUCUGUAUAUAUCUCGUUAUGAUUAUGUUAUCUCCAGUAUGGCAAAGAGUUACCUCCCCUAUGCAAAUCCGACCUGUAAGUUAUCAUAUCUAAAGAUUUUCAUAAAGUUUAAAAACAUGCAUGUCUAUGCAAUAUGUCAGGCUCUAAAUCACCUUUUAUCUCAACAACCAAACAAAGACAACCAAUAAAAUAUAAUUCUCCAUAUAUUAAAACAUCACACAACAACUGCUGACAAGGUUCCUACGUUGGGGCAGACACAUAAACAUGUAGUGGGGGUAAACUGUUUUAUUUUGAGUUAAAACCCUUUAAAAUGUUUCUUGGUAUUAAUUUAUGGAGACUAAAUGAUUUUCAGGAAAGGUAUUUAUUGACCAAAUCACAUAAAAACAUAUCAUAAAAGUCUGAAAUUGUUUGUGAGUAAAUUGGUCAAGUUAAUACACCAAUAAAUUCCUUUUUGUGUAAUCCAUUUUCCUAUAAUAUUGAAUUAUAUUUGCUGAAAUAUGUUUUUAUCAUUUCUUAAAAAGGAAUUAUUUUAGUUUUUUUACUCAGACUCCCCUGUGAUUUAAACAAAUAGAAAAUUUAAUUUUGUAAAUUUAAUUAAAAUUAUUUAUGAAUUAAACUAGACUAUCCUUGCUUACAGCAUUUUGAAGUGAAUAUAAGUAGAAAGUUCAUGUAUAUCAUAUGAAUUUAAUUUUUCUUUUACGUUCAUUGCUAAAAAUCUGAUGGAAAUUCAAAUCAUGGGAAACAGAUUUCUGUUUGAUUUACAUGUGAGUUGUCAUUGAAUUGGAAGGAAAAUCAGAUGGAAAAUUGUUUCAUGUAAAUGCACCUUAAGAAUCAUCAGAAAGGUGAUAUUAUAUAACGAAAAUAUAAAAAUCAUGUACACAGUUGAAAAUGUGUUGUACUUUCCCUUAAUAGUCUUCCUGUUUCACAAUAGUGUCUUAGUUUACAGAUAUGAGACAUCAGUACACAGAAAUGUACUUAAAACUAUUAGUGUUUAAUCUACAAUCAUAUAAGAAAAUAUAUUUUCUAGUGUUUUUGUCAUAAUAAUGACAGUUUGUAUUGGUGUAUUUAAAGUUGUUGAAUAUUGUGAAAAUCUUUAUCAAUGAGAUGUUUUAUUUAUCAGAAUUAAUUGCCUCUAUCAAAUAUAUCACAGAAAAAAACUAUUGCUAUGGAUCCGAAAAAUAAGCUCAAUUAAACCUCUGAGCUUCUAGCAAAAACAGCAAAUAGCAAAUGUUUGGUAAAACUGUAACAUGUUGAUAAAUGCACUUUAGUUACAAGCAUUGAUUUUUGCAUGAAUAAUAGAUAUAUAUACUGUAUGUUGUAUUCUGGUGACAGGUCUGUUCCAGACAAGUCCUUCAGCAUAAAAUGGGUUGAUUUUCUGUAUGGUUUGUCUUUACACAUUUCUUUGUAAAUAGAUUGCCUUCUAUUGCAAUGCAGACCUCUUUUUCACCAUAUUGGACAUAAUUGAAAGGUAUAGAUAAGGAACAUGUUCUUACACUUAAGAAAUAAUUGAUGCAAGCUAUACUUUAUUGUAAUUUUAAUAUGGGUAGGCAUUAUAUUCAUGAUUAUUUUUGCUCGAGCAAUAGUGAGGGCUCAAAUAACACAAAUACAAUGCCUAUCCAUGUUAAAACUACAAUAAAGUAUAGCUUGCAUCAGUAUUUCGAUUCUGAUUAGGACAAUUAAGGUAAUUUCUAUUUCCAAUGUGUAUAAGGGUAAAGCGAUUGUGUAGGCUCUUCCAUGAACCUCCUUUCUUUGUUUGUAAAGAAUCAAAAAGGUGGCACUGUUAUUUUUCAGAGGGAGGAGUUUUUGAACAGCCAGUUGUCGUAUCUAGGUCAAAUAUGUCAAUUACCCAAUGCAACACAUUACAGUCAUAAUUUAUGAAUCAGUAACAACAUGUGCAUCAUUUAAGAGUUUGGCAGUGUAUUAAGUUAAUGAAAUAUACUAAAUGCAUGCCAAUUUGAUCACAUUCAUUAUUCUGCAGUAGUCAAUAUACGCAUGUGAAAAAAAAUUAUUAUUGGAUUUAGAGCAUGGGUUUAUUCAUAAAGCGAAGAAGCACGUCAUAUUAGAAUUUAAAAUUAAUAUACAUGUAACAUGAAAAGCAUCAAAGUACAACCUACAAUCACAGGAAAUGUUCGUCAUUAAACACUGUAAUAGAACCUAAUGAAUUAUUUUCUUUUUCAGUUGAUGAUAAUCCAUAACUUUGCCUGCUGUUUUAUAUCCAUAUACUGUAUGCUGGGAUUCCUUUACAGUAUAAUGUUGAGUGAAUCAACAUUCCAGCUUGGGCCACAGCCAUAUUUACUGCCAUAUUACAAGAUGUACUGGAUUACAAAAGUCAUUGAAUUACUGGACACAGUUUUCAUGAUACUACGUCACAGAAGACGACAGAUCAGCUUCCUACAUGUUUACCACCAUAGUUCUAUGCUACUACUUGCAGAUUCUUGUUACCGCCUGUAUCCAUGGCCAGCUAUGUCUGUAUACUUUGCAGUCAAUUCAUUUAUACAUGUUAUAUUGUAUCUGUAUUAUGGUCUAACUGCUUUAUUCCCAGACAAAUCAAUUCCAUGGAAAAAAAAUAUUACGCAGUUACAAAUUUUGCAAUUUUUAACUUUGUUUGUACAUGCAAC